UUCCGCCUUCGACGUUUCAUAAAACGUCGUAGCAUGUCAUUCGAAGUACAGUCUUAAACCCUAAUAAUGGACAGGCACAUUAAAAUGGCCUCCGCUACCGUCUCUCCAAAUCACUACUGCAAAGAGAUUUAUAAUUCAACUUAAGCUCAGCAAUAUCCCUCUUUGCAUUACAUUCUUCGAUUCAAAAUCGGUAGUAUUCUUUUUCUCACUGAUUGAAUCUGUUCAGUUAUUUUAUUGCGUAAAUAUAAGAAUGGAAAUGAUGUAAUUACAGUAAAAGGUUUGAGCAGGAAGAUUAAUGGCGGUUUAGCUAUAGAUGUAGCCGGAACUAAAAGGAGAGGGCCCCUUGUCUUUGUCUGAGUAAUUGCAAUUUGACUAUCGCAACCUCUCCGAUAACAAAUUAAAAAGUUGUAUUUUUUCUUUAGGGUUGAACUUAAAAGGCGUGGGCUUCAUUCUAUUAUUGAAUGUUAUGUCUAGAAUUCGCCCUAUAUUAAGUCAUCGAUUGCUUGCCGCCUUUUUUUCGUCCUGCCUUGAUCAAAAUCUUCAUUGCUGAUCCAUUCUUAUUUACAUUUUAGUUACCUGUUAAAUGUUUAUUUUAUAUGUCAUAAAAUGUGAGUUAGUUAUUUGCAUUGUUUCUUUUAUCUGUUUUUGACCUGUAAAAUUCAUGUAUUGAGACUGUUUUUCGACUUUAAAGUGAGUUCAAUAGGGUAUAGUUUAUAUUUGAGUGAUUGUCAUAUAACAAUGGAUAAUGUGUAAUCACUCUAUUUCAGUGGCUAAAGUUGCUGAAAUUAUCACAGUUUUGUGACAUUGAUAUCAUAAUGGGCCUAGAACCCUUUAGGGUUGCGAGCUAAGAGAUUGGAACGGCUAAUGGCUUAUUGGACCCUUCUUUACUAUUGAUGUUAUGCGAUCUUCCAUGGGUUUUGUUGUUGGACAGAUAUUAAUUUUGGGAUGCUGGUAGUAUUUGAUUCUUGAAAACUAUGAUGUGAAAACUAAGUAAUUUAGUUGCUGAAAUGAUCACUAGUUUGUGAUCUCGAUAUCACAAUGGGUCUAGAACCCUUAAGGGAUUCAAGGUAAGCAAUUGGAAUGGCUAAUGGCUUAUUUGCUUGUACAUUCAUUUUGUUUUCUUCCCGAGCACUAAUAGGACUCUGUAUUCAGAAUUUGACUAAGCCAGAUUGUCAUAAUUAUCAAACGAGAAAUGUGAUAAUAAUUGAUCUUUCAUCUCCAUUAGGAAAUUUGAUUGGCCGCUGUUUUACAGAGUGACUAGAGAAUGAACAUCAUUGUUUUAUAGAGUGACCAGAGAAUGGACAUCAUUAUUAAUGUUUAGGUGUUGGUCCAUUAUGCUAAAGGUUUUCUGAGCUGCAUUCCUUUUUGGUUUUUUCAGAUAUUGGUACGAAAUGAACACUAUUAUUCUUGGAGUAAUUCCUUUGUUUGUCUCUUCUCCUUUUUUGGUAUAUCUCAUUAUUUGUCAACUUCUACAGGGAAUGUUCAUUGCAUUAAGUUGCUAUUGGAGACAUACACCAACUUUAAUUAUUUGCUUAGACGGAAUUGGAAGAGACAUUGUUGGGUUUCUUUUGACUAUAUGAAAUUUAAUAGUGCUUAUGCAGGCUUGCAGUGAUACUUGAAAAAGCUAAUGGGCAAAUAUCGGUGUGGUUGUUCCCUAUAACGAUCAUGUUUUACCAAUCUAAUUAUUGUAGCAUUCUAAUUUCUGGUUGGUUUAACGUUUGGAACUCUUGGAUGGGGCUUGCCAUAAUAGGUAAAGUGAUUUGAUUGGCUGUUUCCAAACUUUUGGUAUUAUUGGGGCCAAUAUAUGGUGAGAUUAUUGGAUAAUCUGCACCUGGAAUACACUGCUAGAGUGGCUUAUAAUAUUUUUGAAUAGAUGGGUUGACAUUUGCUUGAAAAGAACUCAUACUUUAGUCUAAAAGUUGUGUCCUUUUUCCAACUUAUUAUGCACAAUUGCUUAACUUAGUAUACUGCCGCCCCACAUCAUAAGUUUGUAUUGCAUCCAUAUGAUUCAGAUGGUCUAGCAAUUCAUAGAUUACUUUUUUUUUGAAAAUAACAAUUCAUAGAUUACUUCGUGGCCCAUUUUUUGCCUUGCAAUUAUUCUAACCAUAAUCUAUAGGAUGUCUGCAUAAUUUUCUCCUUAACGCAGAAAAAUCUCGCUUUUAGAGAUGCGAGAUUUUAUCAUGAUCGUUUGUUGUCUAUUGAUAAUAGCAGAUCCGUAUGCCUCAUUCCAUGGAGUUUUGAUUUCGUUUGGUUCAAUAAAUAUCGACGGAAACGAUUAUGAUUUUCAACAUUUAUCUUUACUUAGAAUUAAUUACAUGAAAAUAAUAGUGGAAUUUUCCAUAAUUGGAAAUCACCCAUUUUCAUUGUUCCCAUGAAAGUCAACUUAAUCUUUUUCUUCAUUCCUACUUCCUACUCAACCAUAUUACAUGUAAAAUCAGUCAUUUUUGUUGUGAUUACUUCCUAUUUUUAUUUCGAUUUUCAUUUUUAUUCCCGACAUUGAUCGACCCUUAAUCUCAGGGGCAUUGAAAUGUAUAAAGUUUUAAAAAGAGGUUAGUGGAUUCUUAUCUACUUAUAUUCAUAGGUCUAGAAGUAUUGUGAUUGAGUUGAGAAAAGUUGGAGCUGCACAAGAGGACGUAACCGAAAGGCUCAUUGUUUAUAAUAUGAGGUCUAGUGAUUCAAAAAAUAGGCUGUCAUGCAAUGCAACUGUUAAUAAGUUUCUCCACUUUGUAAAUCUUUUACCUGCAAAAAUUAAUAAUUGGCUGACCUAUGUGCAUG